GGGAACCUUCGUUAAACAACAUGAAGACUUUUAUACUGGUGAGCUGUUUGAUUCUGCUACUGUUAGUAGUUACAGAUACAGACGGUUGGCUCAGAGGAAGAACCAGGCCCGGGGCGCCCAGGCAGACCAGGCCGACCAGGCCACUCAAGCCAGCCAGACCGCCCAGGCCACCCAGGCCACCCAGACGGCCCAGGCCACCCAGGUUGCCCAGGCCGCGCAGGCCACCCAGGUUGCCCAGGCCGCGCAGGCUGCCCAGGCUGCCCAGACUGCCCAGGCUGCCCAGGCUGCCCAGGUUGCCCAUACCCUUUCCCAGAGGAUAAUCCUUUGUUUUGCAAAAGGAAACAACUUGGGUUAGUUGCUUAGUAUUAUGAUUAAUCUCAUAAUCCUAAAUCCUUAGAUGUAAAAAUAUUUUUGGAACGUAAAUCCAAAGAUCUAAUUCACACGAGAAAUACACACAUCCUAUUGGAAUGUAUAAUUAUACUUACUAUAUUGUGUUUAUAUAUUUAUAUUAAAGACGCAUUAUGCCUUUUAAAGGUCUUUAUUUUGGCUUCAAAUCUUAUAUUAACAAUUAUUGAAGAAUAAUAAUAAAAUCGACAGUUGAAAAAGACCCGGAAAUUAUUUUGAACGAAUUGUAUUCUAUGCUAAUGGCAUGCAAUGGAUAAACUGUCUUGCGCAGCUUGUGUACUUAACCUAUUAACAGCGUAAAAACUUGGUGUCCGCCUACCUACAGGAUCUUAUUUAUUCUAACCAACUGUUUGUGGGUGGUGCAAUCUCCCCUGCACUUACAAUUAGACAUUUAUUCAUAUGACAAUUCUAUAAUCAACUCUCUAGACCAUAGAGUGACCCUGAUUGAAAUGUAUUUGAACAACCGCCGAAUAAAAAUUGUAACGAUAAAAUAGAUAAUCGACACCCAGUCUCGAUUGUCAAGUACCAUUGCUACGAUAAUAAACAGUCUGCACAACAUGGUGUAUAAACUUCAAACACUUAGAACUUCGCCCAGAAUAAAGUUAAUUGAAUGAAAUUUUCAAUAUAUUUAUUUUUCAUUGUCUAUUUAUGAACUAUUUUUGCAAGAACAGACAACUCUAUAUCUAAAUCUUACAUAAUGCAUUUUUAGGUGUUCAAAUAUUAUACAUUGAUAGGGAACGGACAACUCUCUAUCUAAAUCUUACAUAAUGUCUAUUUAGGUGUUCAAAUAUUAUACAUUGAUAGUGUUCAAAUAUUAUACAUUGAUAGUGUUCAAAUAUUAUACAUUGAUAGUGUUCAAAUAUUAUACAUUUAUAGGGAACGGAAGGCUAAUAAAUCAUAAUUUAAAUAUAUUAAAUGCGAUCGUUAUUCCAAGGUCUAUGUAUAAUGUGUACUGUACUCAUAAAAUAAGAUAACGUGUCUUCCAUUACAGAUCGUUGAAGAUGGUCCAUUACAAUCCGAAGAAUUAAUUUCAGUUUAUAUAUAUUCCAUACACAGAUUCUGAUAUAUACUUUGUUACAGUAAUAAAACAGUUUCUAAUA